GAUGAACGCUGGCGGCGUGCCUAAUACAUGCAUGUCGAGCGAAUGGAUUAAGAGCUUGCUCUUAUGAAGUUAGCGGCGGACGGGUGAGUAACACGUGGGUAACCUGCCCAUAAGACUGGGAUAACUCCGGGAAACCGGGGCUAAUACCGGAUAACAUUUUGAACCGCAUGGUUCGAAAUUGAAAGGCGGCUUCGGCUGUCACUUAUGGAUGGACCCGCGUCGCAUUAGCUAGUUGGUGAGGUAACGGCUCACCAAGGCAACGAUGCGUAGCCGACCGGAGAGGGUGAUCGGCCACACUGGGACUGAGACACGGCCCAGACUCCUACGGGAGGCAGCAGUAGGGAAUCUUCCGCAAUGGACGAAAGUCUGACGGAGCAACGCCGCGUGAGUGAUGAAGGCUUUCGGGUCGUAAAACUCUGUUGUUAGGGAAGAGCAAGUGCUAGUUGAAUAAGCUGGCACCUUGACGGUACCUAACCAGAAAGCCACGGCUAACUACGUGCCAGCCGCCGCGGUAA
rnacentral:rRNA from 1 species